GGAAAUGCGUCACACCAGAGACUGCAGGCGGAAGAGGAAGUGUAGUGCGCAAUGAAACGUAUCUUUAGUUUUAAUUGAAAGUGAAAGCUGAUGCAACAUCAGAUAUAGUUUAUGUUUUGUACGAUUUAAAACGAUUUAAUAUCCACCGAGAACUCCCGCUACAUUUUAAGAUUGCAGGCUUCGUUUAUCGGACCAGAUUGCGUUUCUAGUCGCAUAGUUAGCUCACCUGUUAACUGUCUAGCUAUGAAGUAUUUGUUUACGUUUUCUUUACUGUGUCUUUUCGUGCUUCAAGCGGAAAGUUGGAAUGAUGGAGGUAGUGUGCUGCUUCGAGAGGUACAGGUGCUCACUCUGUACAGAGGCCAAUACACAACUUCCCGACGGACGAGCCCUGUUCAACAGCUCCAAUGCAUUGGUGGGUCGGCUGGUUGUAGUUCAUUUGUCCCAGAUGUAGUUCAGUGUCAGAACAAGGGUUGGGAUGGCAUUGAUGUUCAGUGGGAGUGUAAAACAGACAUGGAUAACGCGUACAGGUUUGGAAGGAUCGAGGUAAGCUGCGAAGGCUUCAACCACCCGGACGACCCCUACAUCCUGAAGGGCUCAUGCGGGCUGGAGUACACCUUGGAGCUAACCGAACAGGGCCGACAGAGGGGCGGGGGUGGGGGUGGGGGUGGGUUUGGAGGAUUCGGCUCCAGCUUUUUUCAGGGCUCGUCAGACUCCCGAAGGAGCCAUCAGGGCAGUAACUCUUACCACCAGAGCUCCACGGGAGGCGAUAUGACCGGAGACAUUAGCGGCCUGGUCGUGGUGGGGCUCUUCCUGCUCCUGGCUUACGGCGUGUAUAAGAUGUUCCUGUGCGGCCCUGUUCCGGGGCAGCAUCGUUUCCCAGGCGGAAACCCUCAGGGGCCUGACGCCCACGGCUACCCCCAUAACACUGAGCCCCCACCGCCAGGCUUCAAACCCGAUUACACAAAUGACUCUUCUGGCUAUGGAAGCAGCGCAGGCUAUCCAGGAGGCAGCGCAGGCUAUCCAGGAGGCAGCGCAGGCUAUCCAGGGGCCAGCAGUGGCUUUGGUUUUCGCAAGGAGUUCAUGGGACCACGGCCUGCUCAAAACGCAUCCAGCACAGGAAAUGGAUUCUGGAGUGGAAUGGGCACUGGUGGAGUUCUGGGAUAUCUGUUUGGGAGUCAGAGGCGCCAGUCAGGCAUGCCCACAGGGAGUUCUGGGUAUUCAUGGAAUUCUGGUACACCUAAGACAUCGCCGGUGAGCAGUGGAACACGAACGGCCUCAGGUUUUGGUGGGACUAAGAGAAGAUAAGGUGGGAAAUGUUGAAGGUCAGUAUUUGGGAUGAACUUUGUCAUAUCCCUCUUCAGACCAUUGGAGGAAGACUUUCUUUUCUCUUGCGAGUGACAUCCGGUUUCUAAAGCAGCGUAAUGGCAAUGAAUUUGACUAAAUUAAGAGUGUGGUAUCAAGGCUGGGCUCACACCUGAAUAUCACAGCUUUACCUGCCUGGUAUCUGCUCCCAGUGAAGAAGAGCCUAAUAAUGUGUGUGUGUGUGUGUGUGUGUGUGUGUGUGUGUGUGCGGCUGUGUGUAAAUGUUGUGCUUGGUCUAUUUAUAACUCCUGUAGCUAAUUUGCCCUGAUGUUAAAUUUAAUUUUUCAGACAGUAAAGAAACAUAAAACAUAGACUUUGACUUUCUUUUGUGAAUAGAUUUUUGGGCAUUGUGUGCUUAUGAUGUAUGCAUUACUCUGAUUUUGUGAAUUGAUUUUAGUUCUGUUUGCCAUACUGUUCUAUCUACUGUUUGUCAAUCUGUAUAAGAGCACCUGAUUGUAAUGCAGUGUAAUUAAUGCGUUAUGUUAUACAAUGAAAAUGUGACUGAAAAAGCUUAUUUUAUUUCAAAAGAUAAUGGAUUCGGGUAUAAACAUGGAGGAUGUUAUUUGUGUAUUCUCUUGAGGUGAAAAGGUAUUUAAGGAUGCACUAUAUGGAAAUUCUGGGGCCUAUAUGAGUAACUGACAUUUUGCUGCCCAUGUUGGCUUACUCCAAUAGCACUAUGUUUUGAAUUAUCACAAAUGCAAACUAAGCUUCCUGACUUCACAUUGAUGGAAGACGUAGAUGAGCACAGACAUCACCUUAUUAAAGAGACAAGUAACAUGUUAUUUGUGUAGUAAAAUAAACUUUCGAAAAAUUUGUUUUGAGCCAUGUCGACGGAUACUAGUAUAGCCCUAAUAUUAUUGUGCCUCCUUAAACAAGAAUACAGCAGAUAAGAUUGAUUUUAUUGGAAAAUUUACUGGAUUUUGGAUUAAGUAUUGUGGUUAUUUACAUGGUCUGAUGGUGGG